AGCAUUGAGGGUGCUGUUCUGUAAAAAGAUUGGAAGUUCAAGUCUUCUCGACCGCACC
rnacentral:tRNA from 1 species